AACGACACAGGCCGCCAUUGCAGCUGUCGGGUGGCCACCCUCGCGAUGCUAGCGUUCCAAAGGAGGCUAUACGGACAAGGCAGGCAUGUGGCCGCACUUCCUGCUUCUACCACUUCCUGGACCAGCCCCGCCCACUUUCAGGACUGCCUCGCCUCUUGCCACACCCCAAACACAGGCGACCCUUCAUAAAACAUGACGAAAGAUUUAUAAAGUAACAAAGCAACUAAAAGAAAAGCCCUGACGGAUAUUACAAAUAUUACGCACCAGACGUUAGUAAUAAAACUACAAAUA